CAGUCGCCGCGGUAAUACGGAGGGUGCAAGCGUUAAUCGGAAUUACUGGGCGUAAAGCGUGCGUAGGCGGCUUUUUAAGUCGGAUGUGAAAUCCCUGAGCUUAACUUAGGAAUUGCAUUCGAUACUGGGAAGCUAGAGUAUGGGAGAGGAUGGUAGAAUUCCAGGUGUAGCGGUGAAAUGCGUAGAGAUCUGGAGGAAUACCGAUGGCGAAGGCAGCCAUCUGGCCUAAUACUGACGCUGAGGUACGAAAGCAUGGGGAGCAAAUAGGAUUAGAUACCCGCGUAGUCCCUGUCUCUUAUAC
rnacentral:rRNA from 1 species